UCGCACCCGAACGGCCGCUCGGCUGCGAGGCUGCGGUGCCGGGCGCGGCGGCGUCAAGAUGGCGGCUGCGGCGGUGGCGGCGGCGGCGGCGGCGGCGGCAGCGGCGUCGCUCCAGGUGCUGGAGAUGGAGAGCAUGGAGACGGCCGCCGCCGGCUCCGCGGGGCUGGCCGCCGAAGUGCGGGGCAGCGGCACGGUGGACUUCGGGUCGGGUCCGGGCAUCUCGGCCAUGGAGGCGAGCGGGGGCGACCCCGGGCCGGAGGCCGAGGACUUCGAGUGCAGCUCCCAUUGCUCGGAGCUGUCGUGGCGGCAGAACGAACAGCGGCGCCAAGGCCUCUUCUGCGACAUCACCCUGUGCUUCGGCGGCGCCGGAGGCCGCGAGUUCCGGGCCCACCGCUCGGUGCUGGCCGCGGCCACCGAGUACUUCACGCCGCUGCUCUCCGGCCAGUUUUCCGAGUCUCGCUCGGGCCGUGUGGAGAUGCGCAAGUGGAGCUCGGAGCCGGGGCCCGAGCCCGACACGGUGGAGGCCGUGAUCGAGUACAUGUACACCGGACGCAUCCGCGUCAGCACGGGCAGCGUACACGAGGUGCUGGAACUGGCCGACAGGUUCCUCUUAAUUCGUUUAAAAGAGUUUUGUGGAGAAUUCCUGAAGAAAAAACUGCAUCUCUCAAAUUGUGUAGCCAUUCAUAGCUUAGCUCACAUGUAUACUCUGAGCCAGCUAGCUCUGAAAGCCGCUGAUAUGAUACGUAGAAAUUUCCACAAGGUGAUUCAGGAUGAAGAAUUUUACACUUUACCCUUCCAUCUCAUUCGAGACUGGCUUUCGGACUUGGAAAUUACAGUUGAUUCUGAAGAGGUUCUCUUUGAAACAGUUUUGAAGUGGGUUCAGAGAAAUGCUGAGGAAAGAGAGAGGUACUUUGAGGAACUCUUUAAAUUACUCAGACUGUCACAGAUGAAACCUACCUACCUUACCCGGCAUGUCAAACCUGAGCGUCUGGUGGCCAACAAUGAAGUUUGUGUCAAAUUGGUGGCUGAUGCGGUGGAGAGGCAUGCCCUGAGAGCUGAGAAUAUACAGUCCGGCACAUUCCAGCUUCCUGCUUCUCAUGUUUCGUUGUUACCUCGCUAUGGGCAGAACAUGGACGUGAUCAUGGUCAUUGGGGGUGUGUCUGAGGGAGGGGACUAUUUAAGCGAAUGUGUGGGCUAUUUUGUUGAUGAGGACAGAUGGGUGAAUCUGCCCCAUAUUCAUAAUCACCUUGAUGGACAUGCCGUGGCCGUAACCGAAUCCUAUGUUUAUGUUGCUGGUUCAAUGGAACCAGGGUUUGCCAAAACCGUGGAGAGAUACAACCCCAACAUCAACACAUGGGAGCAUGUUUGCAGUCUCAUGACAAGGAAGCAUUCUUUUGGACUCACAGAGGUCAAAGGCAAACUCUAUAGCAUUGGAGGUCACGGCAACUUUAGUCCUGGCUUCAAAGAUGUCACCGUUUAUAAUCCCGAACUUGACAAAUGGCACAACUUAGAAUCUGCACCAAAGAUUCUUCGAGAUGUGAAAGCACUAGCCAUUGAAGACCGGUUUGUGUACAUUGCCGCCCGCACUCCCGUGGACCGAGACACUGAAGAUGGCCUGAAGGCUGUGAUUACCUGCUAUGACACCGAGACGCGACAGUGGCAAGAUGUAGAGUCUUUGCCUCUUAUCGACAACUACUGCUUCUUCCAAAUGUCUGUUGUCAAUUCGAACUUUUAUCAGACUGCAUCCUGCUGUCCCAAGAGCUACUCUUUAGAAAAUGAAGAGGCAAGGAGGAAAAUUGCCAGCCAAGUGUCUGAUGAGAUUCUGGAGAGCUUGCCGCCAGAGGUGCUAAGCAUCGAGGGGGCAGCCAUUUGCUAUUACAGAGAUGACGUCUUCAUUAUCGGGGGCUGGAAAAACAGCGACGACAUUGACAAACAGUACCGGAAAGAAGCCUACCGAUACUGCGCCGAGAGAAAGAGGUGGAUGCUGCUCCCGCCCAUGCCGCAGCCCCGCUGUCGAGCCACCGCAUGCCACGUGCGGAUCCCGUACCGCUACUUGCAUGGCACACAGAGAUACCCGAUGCCUCAGAACCUGAUGUGGCAGAAGGACCGCAUCAGACAGAUGCAAGAAAUCCACCGGCACGCCCUCAACAUGCGGCGGGUGCCCAGCUCCCAAAUCGAGUGCUAGAUCCUCCCGAGGCGUGCAGCCUCAUACUGGCGGCCGUGUCUCGAGGCUGACACUAUCCGUACUGUUACUUGAACAAAAGUAUGUCGAUAACUUAUUCUCUGCCUGAACUGAUUCUGACCCCAUAUAUAGAAGGUAAAAUUCAGUCCUGG